GAUCCUGGCUUAGGAUGAACGCUAGCUACAGGCUUAACACAUGCAAGUCGAGGGGCAGCAUUGGAGUAGCAAUACUCAGAUGGCGACCGGCGCACGGGUGAGUAACACGUAUCCAACCUGCCGCUUACUCGGGGAUAGCCUUUCGAAAGAAAGAUUAAUACCCGAUGGUAUAAAGAGUUCGCAUGUUCUCUUUAUUAAAGAAUUUCGGUAAGCGAUGGGGAUGCGUUCCAUUAGAUAGUUGGCGGGGUAACGGCCCACCAAGUCUACGAUGGAUAGGGGUUCUGAGAGGAAGGUCCCCCCACAUUGGAACUGAGACACGGUCCAGACUCCUACGGGAGGCAGCAGUGAGGAAUAUUGGACAAUGGAUGGAAAUCUGAUCCAGCCAUGCCGCGUGCAGGGAAAAGACGGCCCUAUGGGUUGUAAACUGCUUUUGUAUGGGAGCAAUAAGGGCUACGUGUAGUCCGAUGAGAGUACCAUACGAAUAAGCACCGGCUAACUCCGUGCCAGCAGCUGC
rnacentral:rRNA from 1 species